CAUCAGUGGAAUUAUACGGAAAGUGUAUGAUGGACAAUCUCAUUUCUAUAUGUUUUAUGUCAAUCAAGAGAUGAAAAUGAUUGUAUCUCAGGCUCAUCUGACCUAUUUUAUAUGUCUAAAUUAGGAUGAGACGAAUCAUGCCCUAAAGUGCCUGGCUAUAAAAGGAGCCUAGGCUAAUUAGCUUAGAUGUAGACGUCUUUCUUGUAGACAUCUACAUGUAGUCAGAUGAAUAUCACUCUCUCUAAUUGUCUCUCUGUUGCCCCUUUUACAUCUGUCCUUCAGGUACACAUGGUCAGUGGAAAAUAUUCCCAUUUUGAAACCUAACCCAUCAUCAUCAGAACAACAGUGCCUCAUUUUCUUUAUCUCUUUUUCUUUUUUUUUUUGCACAAUCCUUACCUUCCUAUAUUAGAACAAAAUUGCUCAGAAAAGGGCCUUUUAUUAUUGAAAUACCACCUGUUGUGUAAAACUCUUCUGGCAAGCUUCUUCCAACACAGAGGGCAGAAUUCCUAUGUGCUAGCCAAGCAAAUCAUUUUAAGUGAACUGUAGUCUUUAGUAUGCACCUGUGCUUGGUAGUGGAGAGCAUUUCAGUACUGUACAUGCUGUGGUUUAGCUUGUCUGUACCUUCUUUAGUUGAAUUCUCACAUUAAGGAAGUGUGUCUUCCCAUAAUGGUAGAAUAGUUCUUCCCCUCCAUAGGUGUCACAUAAGAGUCUCCGUAGGAGAAUCAGUGAAAAAAUGCAUGUCUUCAUGGUUGAUAAUUUUUUUCUUUACAAUUUUGAAACUCACAUGAACCCAGUGAUUUUAUUCACUAUUUAUUUUUUUCAGAAAAAUAGGUAUGUCAGUAAUCACAAAAUACACAGUAUGUUUUAUUCAGAAAAAGUCCAGAUGAUUCUUCACUGGUACAACCACCAGUGAUUUCUUCAUCACUCUUUGUAGCAAGAACUCUGCACUCUUGUUUUUGGUGACCUAAGGAUAAACAUUGAGGACAAAAAAAGAUGUCGUGAUGGAGAAAUCUUCAGAAAAUGACUGAAACACCUUCUCUCUACAGUCUCACCAAUGUAAUUUACCUUGCAUGUGACUUGGCCUUAGUUAUCCUCCUUUAGUUUGUCCAGCAAUUUCACACUGCUGUGAAAAUUUCUUUUGGGAAGGUGUGCUCUAAAGGAACUCUAAAAAUUCUGCAAAUUAAUUUUUUACAAACAUCCUCUUUAGCACAUAAGUGUUCUGAGUAUUUUUUGUUUCCCAAAACUCAAUUUGUUCAAUUUUAUUAUGCUCUGGCUACUAUCACAAAGCAGCAACUAUGCCUUACCCCCUGCACCUGCUUAACUAAAAUAAUUAAAGAAGAGUCUGUGUUUCAUUUCGCUACUAGCUUUAUCUGGAUCCAUUCGCUUGCAAUUUUACAUGCUUUGUCUUAUGCUAUGGUGAGAUUAAUCCAUGGAACUUGGAGACAAUAAUCAGUUCAAAAUGAUUAAGGCGGUUUGAACUAGCUUUGACAUUUAUGCAUGUUGGCUAGAAAUGAAAAAUGUUACUGAGGGUAUCUUUAUAUCUCUAAUUUGUGAUUGUAUUAGUUGUACCAUUUUUGUUAUGAAUCUUUUGUCUUUUAAUUGUUCACAAACUGUUCAUUGAUAUCAUUCAAUAUUUGAAAUGUACAAAUUCACACUCCAUAUUUACACUGUAGUUCGAUAGAGAUACAUAAAACUCUACAAAUAGUUUUCACUAUGGAUAUCAUAUUUAUCCGUUCUAAAUAAACUUUCAACAAAUAGCCUUUUACUUUUUUUC
rnacentral:lncRNA from 1 species